GAGAGAGGCUGCAGCUUUAUGAGGACUGCUAAUCUUCAUCCACCCUGGUUAAAGUCCCGGGCUCACUCG
rnacentral:tRNA from 1 species